rnacentral:rRNA from 1 species
GUAGGGAAUAUUGCACAAUGGGGGAAACCCUGAUGCAGCGACGCCGCGUGAGUGAUGAAGGCCUUCGGGUCGUAAAGCUCUGUCGUAUGGGACUAACACAAUGAAGGUACCAUGCAAGAAAGGAUCGGCUAACUUCGUGCCAGCAGCCGCGGUAAGACGAGGGAGCCUAGCGUUGUUCGGAAUCAUUGGGCGUAAGGCGGGUGUAGGCGGAUUUAUAAGUCAGGUGUGAAAUCCCAGGGCUCAACCCUGGAAGUGCACUUGAUACUGUAAAUCUUGAGUGUGGUAGAGGUUACUGGAAUUGUUGGUGUAGUGGUGAAAUACGUAGAUAUCAACAGGAAUACCGGAGGCGAAGGCGAGUAACUGGGCCAACACUGACGCUGAGACCCGAAAGCGUGGGGAUCAAACAGGAUUAGAAACCCGAGUAGUCC